UGGUUUACAUACAAUUCCAAGGGACUCGCAGGAGUCUUCUUCAGCACCACGGUUCAAAGGUCUCAAUUCUUUGGCCCUCAGCCUUCCUUAUGAUUCCUUCACAGCCAUACAUUGCAACUGGGAAAACCAUAGCCUUGACUAUAUGCACUUUUGUUGG